rnacentral:rRNA from 1 species
GAUGAACGCUGGCGGCGUGCCUAAUACAUGCAAGUCGAGCGAACCACUUCGGUGGUGAGCGGCGAACGGGUGAGUAACACGUAGGUGAUCUGCCCAUCAGACGGGGACAACGAUUGGAAACAAUCGCUAAUACCGGAUAGGACGAAAGUUUAAAGGUGCUUCUGGCACCGCUGAUGGAUGAGCCUGCGGCGCAUUAGCUAGUUGGUAGGGUAAAGGCCUACCAAGGCGACGAUGCGUAGCCGACCUGAGAGGGUGAACGGCCACACUGGGACUGAGACACGGCCCAGACUCCUACGGGAGGCAGCAGUAGGGAAUCCUCGGCAAUGGGCGAAAGCCUGACCGAGCAACGCCGCGUGAAUGAUGAAGGCCUUCGGGUUGUAAAAUUCUGUUAUAAGGGAAGAACGACUUUAGUAGGAAAUGGCUAGAGUGUGACGGUACCUUAUGAGAAAGCCACGGCUAACUACGUGCCAGCCGCCGCGGUAA